AGGAUUAACGCUGGCGGCGUGCCUGACACAUGCAAGUCGAACGAGGCCGCAAGGCCGAGUGGCGGACGGGUGAGUAACACGUGACCAACCAACCUCGAAGUUGGGAAUAGCUCUGCGAAAGUAGGGGUAAUACCGAAUGUGGCCCAGGGCGGGCAUCCGCCUUGGUCUAAAGAUUCAUCGCUUCGAGACGGGGUCGCGGCCUAUUAGCUUGUUGGUGAGGUAACGGCUCACCAAGGCGAUGAUGGGUAGCUGGUCUGAGAGGACGACCAGCCACACUGGGACUGAGACACGGCCCAGACUCCUACGGGAGGCAGCAGUGAGGAAUCUUCCGCAAUGGGCGAAAGCCUGACGGAGCAACGCCGCGUGUGGGAUGAAGGCUCUAGGGUUGUAAACCACUGUCGGAGGGGACGAUCGUGACGGUACCCUCCAAGAAAGCCCCGGCUAACUACGUGCCAGCAGCCGC
rnacentral:rRNA from 1 species